AUUGAACGCUGGCGGCAUGCCUUACACAUGCAAGUCGAACGGCAGCGCGGACUUCGGUCUGGCGGCGAGUGGCGAACGGGUGAGUAAUACAUCGGAACGUACCCUGUUGUGGGGGAUAACUAGUCGAAAGAUUAGCUAAUACCGCAUACGACCUGAGGGUGAAAGUGGGGGACCGGAAACGGCCUCAUGCAGCAGGAGCGGCCGAUGUCUGAUUAGCUAGUUGGUGGGGUAAAGGCCCACCAAGGCGACGAUCAGUAGCUGGUCUGAGAGGACGAUCAGCCACACUGGGACUGAGACACGGCCCAGACUCCUACGGGAGGCAGCAGUGGGGAAUUUCGGACAAUGGGCGCAACCCUGAUCGAGCAAUGCCGCGUGUGUGAAGAAGGCCUUCGGGUUGUAAAGCACUUUUGUCCGGAAAGAAAACGCGCUGGUUAAUACCUGGCGUGGAUGACGGUACCGGAAGAAUAAGCACCGGCUAACUACGUG
rnacentral:rRNA from 1 species